rnacentral:rRNA from 1 species
AUUGAACGCUGGCGGCAGGCCUAACACAUGCAAGUCGAGCGAGCGGCGGACGGGCGAGUAAUGUCUGGGAAACCGCUUGCUGGAGGGGGAUAACUACUGGAAACGGUAGCCAAUACCGCAUACCAUCAGAUGUGCCCAGAUGGGAUUAGCUAGUAGGUGGGGUAAUGGCUCACCUAGGCGUCGAUCCCUAGCUGGUCUGAGAGGAUGACCAGCCACACUGGAAAUGAGACACGGUCCAGACGCCUACGGGAGGCAGCAGUGGGGAAUAUUGCACAAUGGGCGAAAGCCUGAUGCAGCCAUGCCGCGUGUGUGAAGAAGGCCUUCGGGUUGUAAAGCACUUUCAGCGGGGAGGCGUUACCCGCAGAAGAAGCACCGGCUAACUCCGUGCCAGCAGCCGCGGUAAUUC